GACGGACGCUGGCGGCGUGCCUAAUACAUGCAAGUAGAACGCUGAAGGAGGAGCUUGCUUCUCUGGAUGAGUUGCGAACGGGUGAGUAACGCGUAGGUAACCUGCCUGGUAGCGGGGGAUAACUAUUGGAAACGAUAGCUAAUACCGCAUAAGAGUAGAUGUUGCAUGACAUUUGCUUAAAAGGUGCAAUUGCAUCACUACCAGAUGGACCUGCGUUGUAUUAGCUAGUUGGUGGGGUAACGGCUCACCAAGGCGACGAUACAUAGCCGACCUGAGAGGGUGAUCGGCCACACUGGGACUGAGACACGGCCCAGACUCCUACGGGAGGCAGCAGUAGGGAAUCUUCGGCAAUGGACGGAAGGCUGACCGAGCAACGCCGCGUGAGUGAAGAAGGUUUUCGGAUCGGAAAGCUCUGUUGUAAGAGAAGAACGAGUGUGAGAGUGGAAAGUUCACACUGUGACGGUAUCUUACCAGAAAGGGACGGCUAACUACGUG
rnacentral:rRNA from 1 species